GUAGGUGAACCUGCGGAAGGAUCAUUACUGUGGGAGGGCCACCUGGGGACAGUGUCCUUGGGUGGCUCUUGCUCCGUUCCUGUGCUGCGUGUACGAUGUGAGAUGUGGUGCUGCAGUGUUCCUGUGACAGGGACCACGCGCAUGCCCACACCCACCCACCUUUAACCCUUUUUUGUUGGUCUGAUCCCAUCGUGUCCAUGACACAACGACAACAUCGAAAACUGCCAGCAAUGGAUCACUCGGUUCUC
rnacentral:misc_RNA from 1 species